rnacentral:rRNA from 1 species
GUGAGGAAUAUUGGUCAAUGGGCGGGAGCCUGAACCAGCCAAGUCGCGUGAAGGAAGAAGGAUCUAUGGUUCGUAAACUUCUUUUGCAGGGGAAUAAAGUGCAGGACGUGUCCUGUUUUGUAUGUACCCUGAGAAUAAGGAUCGGCUAACUCCGUGCCAGCAGCCGCGGUAAUACGGAGGAUCCGAGCGUUAUCCGGAUUUAUUGGGUUUAAAGGGUGCGUAGGUGGUUUGAUAAGUCAGCGGUGAAAGCUUGCAGCUUAAUUAUAAAAAUGCCGUUGAAACUGUCGGACUUGAGUGUAAAUGAGGUAGGCGGAAUGCGUGGUGUAGCGGUGAAAUGCAUAGAUAUCACGCAGAACUCCGAUUGCGAAGGCAGCUUACUAAGCUACAACUGACACUGAAGCACGAAAGCGUGGGGAUCAAACAGGAUUAGAUACCCUGGUAGUCC